UACGAAGGGGGCUAGCGUUGUUCGGAAUCACUGGGCGUAAAGCGCACGUAGGCGGGCUGAUAAGUCAGGGGUGAAAUCCCGAGGCUCAACCUCGGAACUGCCUUUGAUACUGUCAGUCUCGAGUCCGGAAGAGGUGGGUGGAAUUCCUAGUGUAGAGGUGAAAUUCGUAGAUAUUAGGAAGAACACCAGUGGCGAAGGCGGCCCACUGGUCCGGUACUGACGCUGAGGUGCGAAAGCGUGGGGAGCAAACAGG
rnacentral:rRNA from 1 species